AUUGAACGCUGGCGGCAGGCCUAACACGUGCAAGUCGAGCGGGGGUAGCAAUACCCUAGCGGCGGACGGGUGAGGAAUGCAUCGGAACGUGCCGAGUCGUGGGGGAUAACACAGCGAAAGUUGUGCUAAUACCGCAUACGCCCUGAGGGGGAAAGUGGGGGACCGCAAGGCCUCACGCGAUUUGAGCGGCCGAUGCCCGAUUAGCUAGUUGGUGAGGUAAAGGCUCACCAAGGCGACGUUCGGUAGCUGGUCUUAGAGGACGAUCAGCCACACUGGAACUGAGGCGCCGUCCAGACUCCUACGGGAGGCAGCAGGGGGGAAUAUUGGACAAUGGGGGCAACCCUGAUCCAGCCAUGCCGCGUGAGUGAAGAAGGCCUUCGGGUUGUAAAGCUCUUUGAGCGGGGAGGAAGGUUCGCUAUCUAAUACAUGGCGGAAUUGACGUUACCUGCAGAACAAGCACCGGCUAACUCUGUGCCAGCCGCCGCGGUAACAC
rnacentral:rRNA from 1 species